UGAGACGCUGCCCAGGGGUCGCGCGAGACCGAGAUCUGGGACGGCGCCCCACCUCACGCGCCCCGCCUGCGGGAGCACAGCUGUUAAUAUCCCAAUUCUAAAGAAGCCAGGAAACAGGAGCGACUUGUGGACACGCAAGGACUCGAACACUCAGAUAAGGAUAAUGGUUGGGUCCCUGGUCCAGGAAGAUCCCACAUGCUUUGGAGCUGCUAAGCCUGUGCACCACAACUACUGAGCCUGCACGCUGGAGCCCAGGAGCCAGGUACUAAGGCCACGCACACCAGAGCCUGUGCUUGGCGUCAAGAGAAGCCACCACAGUGAGAAGCCAGUGCACCGCAGCUAGAGAGUAGCCCCUGCUCUCCACAACUAGAGAAAGCCUGUGCAGAGCAAUGAAAGACCCAGUGCAGCCAAAAAUAAAUAAAAUUAUUUUUAAAAUAAAAAUGUUGGCAACAGUUGAAAAACUUGAAUACACUGUGUGGACUGAAACAAACACAUUUGUGGGCAGACCUAGCUCUUGAGCCACCUAUAUGUAGCUCUGACUUUGACUGACACAGUGAAAGUUGACCAAGUGGAUACGGCUUGAGUCCCAGCGCAGGGCACCUUCAGGCCACUAUUGGGCGCACAUCCCUUGCACUCUCCAUGCCUGGGAACCAACAGAAAAAAACCUUUUUGGGUAGAGGUGGAGUCAACCCAGGGAAAAUGAAUCAGUCUGCUGAGAGCCUGAAGAAAACUGUUGUGUACCUGUGCUGGUUACUUUCUAUCUAUUUACCUGGACAUUGUUUGUACCUAAGAUUGUGGUAAGGAAGGUCAUGAGUCUUACACGACCACCUGUGUAACGUGUGUAAAGAUUUCCUGUGGAGGAGGUCCCCUGGCCAGGCAUAAAGGACAGAGGAAGUAACCACUGUUUGGACAUAAAUAGCCCUCAGUUUCAACCAGCUUGGAGGGAAAUAGGCAGAAACCCAGGG
ensembl:lncRNA